UGGGGAAUAUUGGACAAUGGGGGCAACCCUGAUCCAGCGAUGCCGCGUGUGUGAAGAAGGCCUGCGGGUUGUAAAGCACUUUUAUUGGGGAAGAGGGUGUUGACGAUGAAUAGUUGUUGACAUUGACGGUACCCGAAGAAUAAGCACCGGCUAACUCUGUGCCAGCAGCCGCGGUAAUACAGAGGGUGCGAGCGUUAAUCGGAAUUACUGGGCGUAAAGGGCAUGUAGGUGGGAUAAUAAGUCAGCUGUGAAAAACCUGGGCUUAACCUAGGGAAGUCAUUUGAUACUGUUAUUCUAGAGUGAAGUAGAGGGUAGUGGAAUUUCCGGUGUAGCGGUGAAAUGCGUAGAUAUCGGAAGGAACACCAGUGGCGAAGGCGGCUACCUGGACUUUAACUGACACUGAGGCGCGAAAGCGUGGGGAGCGAACAGGAUUAGAUACCCCCGUAGUCCCUGAGCGGGCUGGCAAGGCGCAU
rnacentral:rRNA from 1 species